rnacentral:rRNA from 1 species
GUGGGGAAUCUUCCGCAAUGGACGAAAGUCUGACGGAGCAACGCCGCGUGAGUGAUGAAGGUCUUCGGAUUGUAAAGCUCUGUUAAUCGGGACGAAAGAGCCUAGUGUGAAUAAUGCUAGGAAGUGACGGUACCGGAAUAGAAAGCCACGGCUAACUACGUGCCAGCAGCCGCGGUAAUACGUAGGUGGCAAGCGUUGUCCGGAAUUAUUGGGCGUAAAGCGCGCGUAGGCGGAUCUGCCAGUCUGUCUUAAAAGUUCGGGGCUUAACCCCGUGAUGGGAUGGAAACUACAGAUCUAGAGUAUCGGAGAGGAAAGUGGAAUUCCUAGUGUAGCGGUGAAAUGCGUAGAUAUUAGGAAGAACACCAGUGGCGAAGGCGACUUUCUGGACGAAAACUGACGCUGAGGCGCGAAAGCCAGGGGAGCGAACGGGAUUAGAUACCCUGGUAGUCC